AGGGCACCACCAGGAGUGGAGCCUGCGGCUUAAUUUGGCUCAACACGGGAAAACUCACCCGGCCCGGACACYGKAAGGAUUGACAGAUUGAGAGCUCUUUCUUGAUUCAGUGGGUGGUGGUGCAUGGCCGUUCUUAGUUGGUGGAGUGAUUUGUCUGGUUAAUUCCGAUAACGAACUAGACUCUAGCCUACUAAAUAGAUCGUCGGCUUACAAACGCCGACGAGACUUCUUAGAGGGACAGGCGGUGAUUCAACCGCACGAAACAGAGCAAUAACAGGUCUGUGAUGCCCUUAGAUGUCCGGGGCCGCACGCGCGCUACACUGAAGUGAUCAGCGUGCUUUUUCAACCUACUCUGUCAAGAGUGGGRAACCCAAUGAACCUUCUUCGUGAUUGGGAUAGGAGAUUGUAAUUAUUCUCCUUGAACGAGGAAUUCCCAGUAAGCGCGAGUCAUAAGCUCGCGUUGAUUACGUCCCUGCCCUUUGUACACACCGCCCGUCGCUACUACCGAUUGAAUGUUUU
rnacentral:rRNA from 1 species